GCCAGCGUGGCCUAGUGGUCUGAGUGUUGGACUAUGACCCUGGAGACAAGGGUUCGAUUCCCUGUUCAGUCA
rnacentral:tRNA from 1 species